AUUGAACGCUGGCGGCAUGCUUUACACAUGCAAGUCGAACGGUAACAGGCCUUCGGGUGCUGACGAGUGGCGAACGGGUGAGUAAUGCAUCGGAACGUACCCAGAGGUGGGGGAUAACGCAGCGAAAGCUGUGCUAAUACCGCAUGUGAUCUGAGGAUGAAAGCGGGGGACCGAGCAGCAAUGUUUGGCCUCGCGCCUUUGGAGCGGCCGAUGUCGGAUUAGCUAGUUGGUGGGGUAAAGGCCUACCAAGGCGACGAUCCGUAGCUGGUCUGAGAGGACGACCAGCCACACUGGGACUGAGACACGGCCCAGACUCCUACGGGAGGCAGCAGUGGGGAAUUUUGGACAAUGGGCGCAAGCCUGAUCCAGCAAUGCCGCGUGCGGGAAGAAGGCCUUCGGGUUGUAAACCGCUUUUGGCAGGAACGAAACGGUGUCCGCUAAUACCGGGCGCUAAUGACGGUACCUGCAGAAUAAGCACCGGCUAACUACCUG
rnacentral:rRNA from 1 species